UACGUAGGGGGCAAGCGUUGUCCGGAAUCAUUGGGCGUAAAGAGCGUGUAGGCGGUCCGGUAAGUCAUACGUGAAAUCCCUCAGCUUAACUGGGGAACUGCGUGUGAUACUGGAUGGCUUGGAUUUGGGAGAGGGAUGCGGAAUUCCAGGUGUAGCGGUGAAAUGCGUAGAUAUCUGGAGGAACACCGGUGGCGAAGGCGGCAUCCUGGACCAACACUGACGCUGAGGAGCGAAAGCCAGGGGAGCAAACGGG
rnacentral:rRNA from 1 species